ACAUUUUGAGGAUGAUGAUAUACAGAAUUUCACAGUUAUCCCUGUCUGAUACAUAAAGUGAUGAAUUCAAUGUGAUCUGACAAAUGU